ensembl:lncRNA
UAAUAUUGAAAUUCAGCUUAUUUUAUACAGGAAUGGACAGUGAGCAUGAAGAAGUCAUAUUAGACAUUGAAACACUGUGUAGAUAUGUUGAUAAGAAGCUAAGCAGGUGAUGAGAAGAAGGCAGAGGAGAAAGAAAGAGGAGGGAGGGACUGGGAUAAACUCCACCAGUCCAUGUUUAAAUCAGUAGGAAACAAAAGUACGGCUGAAUGCUCCUGCAAACAGCUCCACUUAUGUGAGCCCAAAGCUUGGAAAUGUGCACGAGACGGGCUGCAGGAGACCCGGGUGAUAAAGCUGGCACUGGAAAAGCAAACUACAGAAUGACAAUGUCACUCUCUGAAGUCUCAACACCUUGCUCUGACAGAGUUAGCCGACUCAGGAGAAGAAGAAGAAGAAGAAGAAGAAGAAGAAGAAGAAGAAGAAGAAGAAUAUGAAGAAGAAGAAGAAGAAGAAGAAGAAGAAGAAGAAGAAGAGGAUGCAAAACUUGUCAGCUGUACUUGUCACACUCUUCCAUUCACCACAAAAACAAGGAAAUCAUAACUUUGAGAAGUGUUAUAACAGUUGAUUGUGUUAAAGGUGAAACAGCGAGAGAGAGAGAGAGAGAGAGAGAGAGAGAGAGAGAGAGAGAGAGAGAGAGAGAGAGAAGAAAAACGAAAGAAAGAAAAAAACAUGACACUUUUCCAAAUAUCAGAAGAUGCCUUUGCUACUCUUGGGAUUGCACUACUGUCACAGAUCAGUAAGGGCGUUUAUCUCUUGUGCGGCGAGGUCCCGAGUCGGUGUGUGUUCAGGCGAGAUCACAGCAGCAACGGCCGCUUAAUUAGCACCGAGCAGAUGAGAGCGGGCAGCACUGGUGAGCUAAAGGGCUCUACACAGCACGGAGGAGCUGCACGAAGCCUGAAGAAAGUUAGCACGGGAGAUCCGUUAAAACAGCAGGAAGGCACACGGACAAAAACUUAAACCCUCUGAGGAUGACCAACUGAUCUGUCCCGAACUCUGCUAAACUCUUAAAGUCCCAAACUCCUGCUCCAAGAUCACAGUGAAAAUCUCUCUGUAUUUAUUUAGUUAGUUUAAGGAGAAAAGCAGUGGGAAGAAUGAGGAGGGGAGAAGAGAAAAAAAAAGAUGGGAGUUUUUUAGACAGCCAACUUUUAGACACCCUGAUGUAAAACUUAGUUUGACAGGUAUGAAGAGCCUUUGGGAUAGAGUGACAUGCUGUGUUUGACUGCCUUCACCUGUCAUUAUGUCCACAGCCGGGGAAAGUACAUAAUAUACCACGCUGAACUAAAGCACGCACAGCAGGGACUCUCUGAAACCUGCUUUUGCUAAACAACACAAGAAUACAUCAGUGCAAAUAUUUCAAAUGUGUAUAACGUCACGGUGUCAUGAUUUUUACAUGACUUUGCCUACACUUUUCGUUCAUGUUUUCUAAUCACAGUGCUGUUGAAUUCUCAAUUCUGAUUGGCCAGAAGGUGUCUAUAACAGCAGCUUGGACAGUUGUUAUAUCAAUUUAAUACGGUGUCAUUUAGUUAGAUAAUCAGUCACUUUUAUUGUCUUUGGCUUCACCAUAUAUUAUAAAAAAUUACAUCAACACAACAACCAAAAAACAACAAAGCAAAAGUACAUAAAAAAACAGUAUAAACAUCUAUAACUCAAAUCUACGUUAUAAUGUACACACACAUUCCCAUUUGUAUGUAUGUAUAUAUGUAUAUAUUAUGGCACUUGGCACAAAUGGCAUCCGGUACAUGUUUCCUUGCCUGUGGUUGUCUAGGGUCUCCUUGAAGGUAAACAACUGAAAUUUCUAUAGUAACAGCUCAUUUACAGGGACUUGUAUGGUGGAUGUUUCACAUAAUCUAAACUGCAUAAUACACAGGUAAAUCAGGUACACAGAUAACGUAAACAGUUUAAAAAAUGUGCUUUUAAUUAUUACAGAAAAAAUGUAUGAUCGUUAAAUGAGUCACUGGUGACAUCACCUUAGAAAGAAGUAAUGUACAGAAAGUUUUCCACCUUGGGGGAAGUUUAUCAGAAACAAGUUGUCUUAUUAAAUCAUGAAAGAAAAAGAAAAAAAAAAAAGAAACUGGUGAGGGAAAGACUGUUUUGUCGCUGCAAGAGCAUAAAAGAAAGUAUUUAAAUGUGACUAUAAACUGAUAAAAAAAUAUGACAAGCCAUUUUGAAUUAAUGUAAUGUAAUUUAAAUUAAUGUAAUGUAAUUGAUGUAAUGUAAUACAUGUAAUUAUCGAC